AAGCCAUGUUGUGGGCAUAAACUGACAAGAUCCUUGAACCUUUUCCAACAUUGGAAGAAUGUUUCAUCCUCCUUUUGGGCGGAGUUCAUGAUUUCUUUUCUAAGGGU